GACGAACGCUGGCGGCGUGCUUAACACAUGCAAGUCGAACGGUGAAGCGCCUUCCUUUUUGGUGGGUGUGGAUGAGUGGCGAACGGGUGAGUAACACGUGAGUAACCUGCCCCCUUCUUCUGGAUAACCGCAUGAAAGUGUGGCUAAUGCGGGAUAUUCUGGGUCUGUCGCAUGAUGGGUCUGGGAAAGAUAUUGUUUCGGUGGGGGAUGGGCUCGCGGCCUAUCAGCUUGUUGGUGGGGUGAUGGCCUACCAAGGCGGUGACGGGUAGCCGGCCUGAGAGGGUGGACGGUCACACUGGGACUGAGACACGGCCCAGACUCCUACGGGAGGCAGCAGUGGGGAAUAUUGCACAAUGGGCGCAAGCCUGAUGCAGCGACGCCGCGUGAGGGAUGGAGGCCUUCGGGUUGUGAACCUCUUUCGCCAGUGAAGCAGGCCUGCCUCGUUUGUGGGUGGGUUGACGGUAGCUGGAUAAGAAGCGCCGGCUAACUACGU
rnacentral:rRNA from 1 species